AUAUAACGACUCUCGGCAACGGAUAUCUCGGCUCUCGCAUCGAUGAAGAACGUAGCGAAAUGCGAUACUUGGUGUGAAUUGCAGAAUCCCGUGAACCAUCGAGUCUUUGAACGCAAGUUGCGCCCGAAGCCAUCUGGUUGAGGGCACGUCUGCCUGGGCGUCACGC
rnacentral:rRNA from 1 species